UCACUUAAAUUAAACUCGAAAGUCAGACAUCCCAUUCUUAGAUUUCGCCGGAAAAUGCAACCAUGAUCGUCUCGAUGGCACCAUCAUAGGAAUUCAAUGGGCAAAGUGCAGUUCUUGGUCCUCGUCAUCGUCAUUAGAUUUCAUAAUUUUCAACGGUGAGAUGGACCAGACGUGGUGAUCAGACGGUGGAGAAGGAAAAUGGAACUGAUGAAGAUGUUAUCUCAGAAGAAGAUGGAAAAUGAUCACUCCUAGAAGAGCUUUCCAUGGAAAUCUAAAGCUUUGUUUUCUGAAAAUCUGCCCAUUUUUCAUUUUCGCUGCGAAAAGUUUCCAAGCAUGUCACUGUUGGAGAAGAACCAAGAGACGGAUCAAAAACAUGGUAGGGACGCCGAAUUGAGCAUGAACUCGCCAGAGAUACAGGCCUUUUUCAACUUGGUCGAUCGAGAAGCCCACAGGUUCGCAUUGCUGAAUGGAAAGAAUCAACUUCCGGAGAUGCCCGUAAUGGAAAACCGCAUCGUUUGGCAACCUUCAUUCAUAAUGGAAGAUUUCAACAUCCCUUGGAAUGGAAAUUCGAACGCAUGUCGCACAGGAAAGUCAACAGAUCCCAUCCAACCAUUAACAAAUGAUGGAGAUGGAGGUUUGGGAGAAGGAAAGGAGGAGAGAUUGAAGAUGGGGUCAAAGAGGGAAAGAGAUGCAUUUGCGUUAGCUUCAAAUGGGUCUCAAGAGAGAAUGAAGAAAAAGACUCCUAGCAAUGGUAUUAUAUGUGAUUUAAACAAGCCAGAUGAGUCCUUGGAUUUGUGGUCUUUGGUAUAAGCAAUGACAUUUGAAUAGUGUAGUGGUACAUGACACUUGAAUUUGAAAAAAAAAUGGUCCUUACGUACAUGACAUGAAGAUGUUGUAAGAAAGGAUAUUUGUCUAGAUUGUAAUAUAUAUAUAUAUAUAUAUAUAUAUAUAUAUAUAUAUAUAUAUAUAUAUAUAUAUAUAUAUAUAUAUAUAUAUAUAUAAGGGUUUUGGGGUUUUCAUUUUUAGGUAAUGAGAGAUGGGUUUAGCACUGAUUUAGUGAAAUUGAACCUAUUAUUAGUGAUAUACCUUGUUAGGUGAUGAGUGUUUUUACUACCUUUUUGUGUGUCCGCUUGCUAAUCAAAUGAGAUGUGUUCAUGCUUUCAAAAAUUAGGGCAUGUUAAGGUGCAACUUAAAAAUGAGUUAAUCUCAUUUUAGUUAAUAUUAAUAAGGUAUUGUUUGGCAUUGUUUUCGGAA